UUUAACUAAAUGAAAGAGUCUCAGAAUACACAGUCAGCGAGUUGUUUUGAUUCUAUUACGUCACUUCCGCCCAGCGAUUACGCGUUUUGAAUGAAAGCAGACGGAUCUUCAACAUGAGCGAUGGAUUAAUUAAGCAUGGAACAUGCAAGAAGAUAAUGCAGCAGAUGUAGUUCAAAGUAAUGGUAUUAAAGAAUUAUGCAGUGAAACCAGAAUAUUGGACAGCCCUAAAGAUAGUGAUCAUUGAACAUAAAUUUCAUACAGAGGUACAACUCUUCUGCCACCGAAGGGGCUAUAUGUGAAGCCUGAAGAAUUGCCACCAAGAAGUAUUGUCACCAAGACACUCUGGGUUUGUAGAAAAUAAUCAUUUAAAGGAUGGAGCAUUUUACCUACCAUGCAGUAAAUGCACAUUGCAAUAUAUGGAAUACAAGUGAAAUCAACAUGAGCAGAGGCAAGGAAGAUGCAACAAAGGAAGAUUUCAUAAAGAACAUAUUGAUAGUUAUCAUCUAGUAAUCAUAUUCUAAUGUCGCUUAUAUUUCAAAUCAUUGCAUAUUGGUAUGUCAAUUCUAAUAUUGUAACAUUCCUUUAAAGCUAAUGAGUUAGUAUUGAUAUCAUUACCUGUUGUUUUUUAAAACAACUUCAUUAAACUUGCUGAUUAUUUAAAGUGAUAGUCAGUACAUAAGAAUUAUGUGAUACUUAAGAUAUUGUCUCAUUAUUCUUCAAUUUAUUAUAAUAAAGUAUUUUAUAUUUGA